CUCCGGUUAGACAAGCAGGUAAGACAUUGGAUCGCCAAUCCGUAGAUGAUGGGUUCGAUUCCCAUUCCGGACG
rnacentral:tRNA from 1 species